UUACUUUGAUCACUUUGGUCCAGCCUGAUUUGCUUCAAUAGUCAAUAUUCAAAUAAAGCUAUUCAUAUGCCAAAACUCCAGAAACCGUUGGCGUGUCUGUUUCUUCUUCCCUCCUUCUUCUCUCUCCUCCAUUGAAACUGCUCAGAUCCCAUCACUUCUUUCUAUUCAAAUCAGCUGCCCUUCUGCUCCACUGAAUCAAGGAAACUGCUUUUAUACCUUUCGGAGGGGUGAGGGAUUUAAGGCCUGGACAUUAUCAAGCACCUCGAAUUAUCGAAAUUCGGGUGGGGAUGUUGUUAAGAAAGGUGGGAUUUCCAAAACCAGACCCCUAGUUGAGGGUUGAGGAGAAUUGUACAAUAUGCUCAUUAUAUGGUUUUUGGGAUCAUCUCUGUUACAUUUUCAUGUGUUGGCAAGAUUGAGACCUUGUAGUACAAUGAGAUGAGAGAGUUAUUGCAGAGUUUUGCUGUGAUCAUAAUGAAAGAGUUUUUCCGGCUCUGUGCUGGGUUAAAAAUUGACUGGAAAAGGUUGAUCUUUGCUGGGGCCUUUAUGACAACAGCCGGUGUGAUUCUGCAAAUGUUUCUACUUAAUGAUCCACUUGACAUGUGGCCCCUCUCUCUACCCAUUGCAAAUGUGUCAGACGAAUCGUUGAACAGUAUCAGGAGCUUUAAUCAGACCUUUAGUGAGGGAAGGGUCAAAAGAUUGGAACUCAUUUCUGCUGAUGUUCCCAUUGUUCCACCAGACUCUUCUCUUAAGUUGAAUCUCUCUAUUCCAGUUAUGCCAUAUAUUGGCACAGUUCCUACAGGGAGAUCAAGAAGGAGAAAGAAAGAGGGAAAUGUAGAUAACAUGUCAAAGGUCAUACCUCCUCCUAACCCUCCACGUAUACAUGUGCCUUAUCGUUUGCAGAAAUUCAUUUGGUCCUUGACACCCAAUGAGGCACUUGUGUAUGCGAAGAAAGAGAUUGAUCAUGCCCCUGAAGUUAUUGACGAUCCUGAUCUAUAUGCCCCUUUAUUUCGAAAUAUGUCUGUUUUCAAAAGGAGCUAUGAGUUGAUGGAAUUGAUACUUAAAGUUUACAUUUACAGUGAUGGGUCAAGGCCCAUAUUUCAUGUACCUCAUCUCAAUGGAAUUUAUGCUUCUGAAGGAUGGUUCAUGAGGUUGAUGGAGGGAAACAGGCAAUUUGUCACAAGAGACCCAGAAAAGGCUCACUUAUUUUAUCUUCCUUACAGCAUGCGCCAAUUGGAGUUGAAGCUUUAUGUACCUGGUUCACAUCAAAUUAAACCACUGGCAAUAUUCCUCAGAGACUAUGUGAACAUGAUUGCUGGGAAGUAUCCUUUCUGGAAUCGCACACAUGGGACAGAUCAUUUUCUUGUUGCUUGCCAUGACUGGGGGCCUUACACAGUUACUCAGCACGAGGAACUGGCCAACAAUACAAUAAAAGCUCUAUGCAACGCUGACACCUCAGAAAGAGUUUUUGUUGCUGGGAAGGAUGUUUCACUGCCAGAAACUAAUAUUAGGAACCCCAGGGUUCCCCUUAGAAAUAUUGGUGGAUUAAGAGUGUCACAGCGCCCACUCCUUGCCUUCUUUGCAGGACGCAUGCAUGGCAGAGUCCGCCCGAUACUUCUCAAGUACUGGCGGGACAAACAUGAGGACAUGAAAAUCUAUGGGCCUCUGCCCUCUAGAAUCUCCCGAAAGAUGUCAUAUAUCCAGCAUAUGAAGUCAAGUAAAUUUUGUAUUUGCCCAAUGGGGUAUGAAGUGAACAGCCCUAGGAUCAUUGAAGCCAUAUAUUAUGAGUGUGUCCCAGUGAUAAUUGCAGAUAAUUUCCCCCCUCCUUUGAGCGACGUGCUAGACUGGAGCAAAUUUUCUGUUAUUGUGGCUGAGAAGGAUAUCCCCAAGUUACGAGAGAUUUUAUCGGCUAUUCCUAUGAGAAGAUACAUGGCAAUGCAAACAAAUGUGAAAAUGGUGAAAAGGCAUUUUCUUUGGAAUCGAAGGCCAAUCAGAUAUGAUUUAUUCCAUAUGAUUCUGCAUUCCAUCUGGUUAAGCAGAUUGAGCCAGAUUCAAAUCCCAGAAUCCUAGUAUAUGUUUAACAAGUGCUCUAGAGGAUGUUAACUUCUCAAAAUAGGUUUAGUUCGAAUGAGGAGCUGUUUAGAGCAAGACUAGUGACUAAGAUGCAAGUCCAAGAAGGGAAGCGACUGCUAAUAUUAUGAAGGACUUCAACCAGCACUGGGGGCGUGCAACAGUUGUUUCAUGGUUGGUGUCCCAAGUUCUUUGAACUGAAACAUGGAUGAAUAUUUUCUGGGAUGACGAGGGUGGAUGCCAAACUGAAAAUUCUUACUGCAGGAAAGAUGAAAUGCAUGAGUCUCCAUAGCUUCUCAAACAAAGCUCUGAUGUUCCAUUACAAUUUUUUGAUCAUUGCCCUUUAUACCAUAUACAGAUGACCCUAUAUGCUUCCAUUAUGCAAGUUGAGUUUGCCUUUGUUCUAGAAGUAAGCAAUAAUUCUUGACGCUGAAAUUGAAAUCAUUUAGAACAAACAUUUGGGAUUCUCGCAAACAAGUUAUAUACAUACAGGAUAGGUGGUUCUUAUUGUGGGGUGCGAUUUUGAUGUUUUCUUUAUGUACAGAUAGUGUUUUCCUUUUGUUGGAGAAUAUUUUGAGUUGGAAGUCUGUAAAUAGUGCUGCCGACAUGUAAAUCAUUUUCGAACAAUUUUUUUUAUAUAACCUGACCUGCAUACCGAUCAUGUAGGUUCUUAUAUAUGAA